rnacentral:rRNA from 1 species
AGCGAACGCUGGCGGCAGGCCUAACACAUGCAAGUCGAACGAAGUCUUCGGACUUAGUGGCGGACGGGUGAGUAACACGUGGGAACGUACCUUUUGGUUCGGAACAACUCAGGGAAACUUGAGCUAAUACCGGAUGAGCCCUUAGGGGGAAAGAUUUAUCGCCGAAAGAGCGGCCCGCGUUAGAUUAGCUAGUUGGUGAGGUAAAGGCUCACCAAGGCUACGAUCUAUAGCUGGUCUGAGAGGAUGAUCAGCCACACUGGGACUGAGACACGGCCCAGACUCCUACGGAAGGCAGCAGUGGGGAAUCUUGCGCAAUGGGCGAAAGCCUGACGCAGCCAUGCCGCGUGAAUGAUGAAGGUCUUAGGAUUGUAAAAUUCUUUUACCAGGGACGAUAAUGACGGUGCCUGGAGAAAAAGCCCCGGCUAACUUCGUGCCAGCCGCCGCGGUAAAAC